rnacentral:rRNA from 1 species
CCUACGGGUGGCAGCAGUGGGGAAUAUUGGGCAAUGGGCGCAAGCCUGACCCAGCAAUGCCGCGUGAAGGAAGAAGGCUUUCGGGUUGUAAACUUCUUUGACAGGGGAAGAGCAGAAGACGGUACCCUGAAAACAAGCCACGGCUAACUACGUGCCAGCAGCCGCGGUAAUACGUAGGUGGCAAGCGUUAUCCGGAUUUAUUGGGUUUAAAGGGUGCGCAGGCGGAUUUUUAAGUCAGCGGUCAAAUCGUGGGGCUCAACCCCAUCCAGCCGUUGAAACUGGGGAUCUAGAGUGUGCGAGAGGUAUGCGGAAUGCGUGGUGUAGCGGUGAAAUGCAUAGAUAUCACGCAGAACCCCGAUUGCGAAGGCAGCAUACCGGUGCACAACUGACGCUCAGGCACGAGAGCGUGGGUAUCGAACAGGAUUAGAUACCCGUGUAGUC